AUGAGAUGAAAUCAGCGUUUGGACAUGCGACUUAACAUUGAUUUCAUCCCAUGA
rnacentral:pre_miRNA from 1 species